rnacentral:rRNA from 1 species
GAUGAACGCUGGCGGCGUGCCUAAUACAUGCAAGUCGAACGCACAGCGAGAGGUGCUUGCACCUUUCAAGUGAGUGGCGAACGGGUGAGUAACACGUGGACAACCUGCCUCAAGGGCGUGGGGAUAACAUUUGGAAACAGAUGCUAAUACCGAAUAAAACUCAGUGUCGGCAUGACACAAAGUUAAAAGGCGCUUUGGCGUCACCUAGAGAUGGAUCCGCGG